AGAGUUUGAUCAUGGCUCAGAUUGAACGCUGGCGGCAGGCCUAACACAUGCAAGUCGAGCGGUAGCACAGAGAGCUUGCUCUCGGGUGACGAGCGGCGGACGGGUGAGUAAUGUCUGGGAAACUGCCUGAUGGAGGGGGAUAACUACUGGAAACGGUAGCUAAUACCGCAUAACGUCGCAAGACCAAAGUGGGGGACCUUCGGGCCUCAUGCCAUCAGAUGUGCCCAGAUGGGAUUAGCUAGUAGGUGAGGUAACGGCUCACCUAGGCGACGAUCCCUAGCUGGUCUGAGAGGAUGACCAGCCACACUGGAACUGAGACACGGUCCAGACUCCUACGGGAGGCAGCAGUGGGGAAUAUUGCACAAUGGGCGCAAGCCUGAUGCAGCCAUGCCGCGUGUGUGAAGAAGGCCUUCGGGUUGUAAAGCACUUUCAGCGGGGAGGAAGGCGUUAAGGUUAAUAACCUUGGCGAUUGACGUUACCCGCAGAAGAAGCACCGGCUAACUCCGUGCCAGCAGCCGCGGUAAUACGGAGGGUGCAAGCGUUAAUCGGAAUUACUGGGCGUAAAGCGCACGCAGGCGGUCUGUCAAGUCGGAUGUGAAAUCCCCGGGCUUAACCUGGGAACUGCAUUCGAAACUGGCAGGCUAGAGUCUUGUAGAGGGGGGUAGAAUUCCAGGUGUAGCGGUGAAAUGCGUAGAGAUCUGGAGGAAUACCGGUGGCGAAGGCGGCCCCCUGGACAAAGACUGACGCUCAGGUGCGAAAGCGUGGGGAGCAAACAGGAUUAGAUACCCUGGUAGUCCACGCCGUAAACGAUGUCGAUUUGGAGGUUGUGCCCUUGAGGCGUGGCUUCCGGAGCUAACGCGUUAAAUCGACCGCCUGGGGAGUACGGCCGCAAGGUUAAAACUCAAAUGAAUUGACGGGGGCCCGCACAAGCGGUGGAGCAUGUGGUUUAAUUCGAUGCAACGCGAAGAACCUUACCUGGUCUUGACAUCCACAGAACUUUCCAGAGAUGGAUUGGUGCCUUCGGGAACUGUGAGACAGGUGCUGCAUGGCUGUCGUCAGCUCGUGUUGUGAAAUGUUGGGUUAAGUCCCGCAACGAGCGCAACCCUUAUCCUUUGUUGCCAGCGGUCCGGCCGGGAACUCAAAGGAGACUGCCAGUGAUAAACUGGAGGAAGGUGGGGAUGACGUCAAGUCAUCAUGGCCCUUACGACCAGGGCUACACACGUGCUACAAUGGCAUAUACAAAGAGAAGCGACCUCGCGAGAGCAAGCGGACCUCAUAAAGUAUGUCGUAGUCCGGAUUGGAGUCUGCAACUCGACUCCAUGAAGUCGGAAUCGCUAGUAAUCGUAGAUCAGAAUGCUACGGUGAAUACGUUCCCGGGCCUUGUACACACCGCCCGUCACACCAUGGGAGUGGGUUGCAAAAGAAGUAGGUAGCUUAACCUUCGGGAGGGCGCUUACCACUUUGUGAUUCAUGACUGGGGUGAAGUCGUAACAAGGUAACCGUAGGGGAACCUGCGGUUGGAUCACCU
rnacentral:rRNA from 2 species